GGCUGGGCCCAGAGAAUGGUGGUGAAGGAAGACACAUCCAGUAGGCCUCUGGUCACAAGUGCUGGUCCUCAGGGCUCAGUACUGAGGCCAGCCCUGUUUAAUAUCUUUAUCAGCAAUCUGGACAAGGGGAUCUAGUGCAUCCUCAGCUCAGUCAGCUUGCAGACAACACCAAAUUCCCUUCUUUGAUGGCAAUGAAACAAAAGGGAAGAAAAAUCAAGAGUAACUGACAAGAAGAUAACUGCUCCAGCUCCUCAGAAGUACCCUUUACAGACACUACUUUGAAUGCUACUUGACAAGGAUUCAGAAAUGUUAUACUUGAGCAGUGUGGCAUUGGGAAGGAAGGUAUGAUAUAAAACCAUUUCAAUAAAAGCAGGUUGCAUCAGGACCCAUUAG